rnacentral:rRNA from 1 species
GACGAACGCUGGCGGCGUGCUUAACACAUGCAAGUCGAACGGAAAGUCCCUGCUUUUGUGGGGUGCUCGAGUGGCGAACGGGUGAGUAACACGUGAGUAACCUGCCCUUGACUUUGGGAUAACUUCAGGAAACUGGGGCUAAUACCGGAUAGGAGAUCCUGCUGCUUGGUGGGGGUUGGAAAGUUUCGGCGGUUGGGGAUGGACUCGCGGCUUAUCAGCUUGUUGGUGGGGUAGUGGCUUACCAAGGCUUUGACGGGUAGCCGGCCUGAGAGGGUGACCGGCCACAUUGGGACUGAGAUACGGCCCAGACUCCUACGGGAGGCAGCAGUGGGGAAUAUUGCACAAUGGGCGGAAGCCUGAUGCAGCAACGCCGCGUGCGGGAUGACGGCCUUCGGGUUGUAAACCGCUUUCGCCUGUGACGAAGCGUGAGUGACGGUAAUGGGUAAAGAAGCACCGGCUAACUACGUG